rnacentral:tRNA from 1 species
GGAGGAAUGGCAGAGUGGCUUAUUGCAAACAGUAACUUAGUUACGGUUGGGGUUUAUGCCCCCGAGGGUUCGAAUCCCUUCUUCCUCCG